rnacentral:hammerhead_ribozyme from 1 species
AUCCAGCUGAAGAGCCCCAAAUAGGACGUUACGCGCGUCCUAUAU